rnacentral:lncRNA from 1 species
CUCAAGGAUGAAGAAUCUGAGUUGGUGUCAAACAGAGGGCUGGUCCUUCAGCAUAUCACCGUCUUGCCUCCUGCUGAAGCUCAUGUCAAAAUGUUCUGCUUUGGAAGUUGCAUUAUGGUUCUGUUUGACAAGAAGUACACAGACAUGCCAGACGGCCACAAUGCCCGAAGAAUUGAAAGAAUGUCUUUCCCCAUGUCCUUGUGCUGCGACUGAGCCUGGCAAACAAAAAAAUAAAAUAUUUUUUUCUUAAAGCAGAAAAGAGGAGGAGGAAGAGCAGAUUAAAAAUAAAGCACUGUUCCUUGUGGUGACAGCAUCUGAGGGCAUGCAGGCCUUGGGAAACAUUGUGGAGGAAAGGAUGGAAGAUGGACUCUUUCCUCUCUCAAUUGGAAGUGAAAAUGCAUCUGGGUGCGUGAAAGAUGCGAAUAUCAGCUGUGUUGUGCCAGCAGCCACAUCAGGCAGAACUAUGUGCAGGCAUGGGAAUGCACAGGGAACCUCUUCUGCUGCUUCCACUGCUUCAGCCAAGUUUCCAGCCUCAGCCAGGACUUACUGCAAAGCAUCAAGCUCGGUUGCAUGAAGCAAAUGAGAAGAAAGAGCGAUUAAUAGCAUCACUCUCUGGGAAAAACUUCAUCUUCCUGUCCUCAUCUUGCCCCAUGGAGCAUGUCAUCAACUUGAGAAACUCCCAGCAGGAGAGAGAGCAAGUUCACAUCCAGCUUCCUGCAGUCCCAGGCUUGAAGAUAGCUCUGCUCAGAGAAUCUUUUCAGAAGGAGCAGAAUUAAAUUUCUCUUCCUGAGCUUUUCAGAGCAUGAAAGCUGUAUUCAAACAUACAAAGGGGUAGCAUUUUGUGAAAAUAUGUUCAUUUUAAUAUCAUCUUUAAAGAAAACAAAAACAAACACACCUUGGAUUGUUCCUUAUUUAAUUUUUAAAAAAUGAAGAGAAAGGAGCAAGACAGGAUAUACCAAGGACAUUUUCCUUAAGCAUGCCAUCUGUUUUCUGAAAUUUGAAAGCUGGAAAAGAAACAUUGCCUGUAAUCUUGAAUCUUAUUUGCUGGUUGUUUUUUUUUUUUUUUUUUUUUUUUUUUUUUUUUUUUUUUUGUGUUUGUUUGUUUCCUUGUUUGUGCUUUUACAUGGUGGCCUCAUGUGUGUAAUGAAUG